CCCCACCAGUCCAGCUUCAGACCUGGCCACUCGACAGAGACCGCACUCCUCUCGGUCAGUGAGUCGCUUCACGCCGCACAAGCAGCCUCCCGUUCAUCCGUCCUGAUCCUCCUAGACCUUUCUGCUGCCAUCGACACAGUCGACCACCCCAUCCUCCUGUCCUCCCUGGCAGCUAUGGGGAUCUGUGGCACAGCACUAGACUGGAUCGAGUCCUACCUCUCCGGUAGCUCCUUCCAAGUCGCCUGGGCCGGUGCAGUAUCGGCACCUCGCCCCCUUACCACAGGAGUUCCCCAGGGCUCAGUCCUUGGUCCCCUCCUGUUCUCCCUGUACACCCAAUCUCUUGGUCCUGUAAUCUCUGCCCAUAGUUUGUCUUAUCACUGUUAUGCCGAUGACACCCAACUCUUUCUCUCCUUCCCCCCCUCUGACACACAGGUCUCCGCUCGUAUCUCUGCUUGCCUGAGGGAUGUCCAGAGCUGGAUGGAUAACCACCAUCUUAAGCUGAACCCAGGGGACACCGUGGUGUCAUCAUCACCCACUGCCAAAAACCUUGGAGUGGUGAUGGACAACAGACUGUCCCUCUCCCAGAACAUCGCGGUGGUGAGUCGAACGUGCAGGUUUUUUCUGUACAACAUCCAGAGAAUCUGUCCCUUCCUCACCACCUACGCAACCCAGCUCCUGGUUCAAGCGAUGGUCCUGUCCCGCCUGGACUACUGCAACUCGCUGCUGGCUGGUCUGCCAGCAUCCGCCAUCAUCCAGAAUGCUGCAGCUCGUCUGGUCUACAACCUCCCUAGACAUGUCACCCCCCUGCUCACUGACCUCCACUGGCUGCCUGUUAUUGCUCGCAUCAAAUUUAAGACUUUGGUGCUUGUGUGGUAAACAAGCCUGCCACAGGCCACCGAAGUGGCUUUCCACGGGGCCCUCCAGCACAGAGACACAGGGAGAUGAUGUUCUAACAGUCCACAUUUAUUUUCAAGGGUGGCAAGAUGUUACAGCUAAGUGAGCAGAUGUUAAAACUGUCAUGACAGAGGCUCCUUGUGUGAGUGGGGAUGGCAGAUUUAACCUGUGCGCACUGAUUACCUCACUAAGCACAGGUGCAGCCACUCCUGUUCCCGGGUCCAAUUAGCCUGGCCAAUUAUCUAAUUCUUAACCAGUUAUCCAAUUGGCCAGGUCUCAUUAGCUUGACCCAGGGCAGGUGUGGCUGCUUAAACCAGCCAUCCCCACACCACAGCUUGCAUACCAGGCGGCUAAGGGGUCAGCACCAGGAUACAUCCAGAGGAUCAUCAGACCCUACACACCAGCCAGACCUCUCCGUUCUGCCACCUCUGGACGCUUGCCACCUCCCCCUCUUCGUGUCUGUACUUCCCGUUCGUGUCUGCUGUCUGUCCUGGCCCCUCGCUGGUGGAAUGACCUUCCCGUGGCGGUCAGAACAGCAGAGAAUCUGACUACCUUCAAGUGCAGACUAAAGACUCAUCUCUUCAGGCUGCACCUCUCCCCACCCCUCCCUAGCCUCUAGUUUAGCUCAAUGUACCUAGUUAGGCUAAUGCGAUCUCGUUUGUUUUGUAUUUGGCAGGAUUGUUUUGUUUGAUUCUGAUUAGGCAAAUAUGAUUUCGGUGCUAGUUUUGUACUUGGCAGGAUUGUUUAGUUUAUUUGCUGAACAGGUUACCCUACAGGGUUGGAGUCCUGAUCUAUGUGGUCACUUCUCGCACUACGAUCUUUACUUCACUCUAGUGUGUUUUUCUGCACCUCUGCACUUUGAACUGAUGCACUUGUUGUUCGUCACUCUGGAUAAGAGCGUCUGCUAAAUGCCUGUAAUGUAAUGUAAUGUAAAAAACUAACAUCAUUCAACUUGUCAGUACAUUUUGAAAUGAAAUUGACAGCCUUAUCUACUAUAAUUUUUUAUAUUUCCUUGUUAAAUGACCUGUUACAGUGAGCCCAAUUUUCGUUUUAUGCUCAGUUUUGGAAAGCACAAGUUAUGCCUUAGGGCACGGCAUACCCCAUACCUAUACAGCACCGAGAGUUCGCCACUUUUCAUUUUUGUAAGAUUCAAUAUUUAAUAGGCGACAAUAUUUCACUUUUUUCUGUAUGUAUUUAUUUUACAAUCAGUAUCUAUUUUAAGUUGCAAAUAUACAAGAAGUUGUACAUUUUGUAAAAUUAACUUGACAGCCAAGCAUAAACAUGUCCUUUACCAUUGUCUAAGCAUUCAUCAGUGGUUUCAUAAAUUCAUUUUAAAUGUCGUCUUCCAUGAGGCAUUAUUGUUAUUUGACAAUUUAAUGUCACACAAACUUUGAAUUACCAUAUUUUCUUCAGA